UACGUAGGGUGCGAGCGUUAAUCGGAAUUACUGGGCGUAAAGCGUGCGCAGGCGGUUUUGUAAGUCAGAUGUGAAAGCCUCGGGCUUAACCUGGGAAUGGCAUUUGGGACUGCAAGGCUGGAGUGUGGCAGAGGAGACUGGAAUUCCUGGUGUAGCAGUGAAAUGCGUAGAUAUCAGGAGGAAUACCGAUGGCGAAGGCAGGUCUCUGGGCUGACACUGACGCUCAUGCACGAAAGCGUGGGGAGCAAACAGG
rnacentral:rRNA from 1 species